GUCAGCUCGUGUCGUGAGAUGUGGGUUAAGUCCGCAACGAGCGCAACCCUUGCCUUUAGUUGCCAGCAGUUCGGCUGGGCACUCUAAAGGGACUGCCGGUGUUAAACCGGAGGAAGGUGGGGAUGACGUCAAGGUCCUCAUGGCCUUUAUGACCAGGGCUACACACGUACUACAAUGGCCGAUACAAAGGGCAGCGACACUGCGAGGUGAAGCCAAUCCCGUAAAAAUACGGUCUCAGUCCGGAUUGGAGUCUGCAACUCGACUCCAUGAAGUUGGAAUCGCUAGUAAUCGUGGAUCAGCAUGCCACGGUGAAUACGUUCCCGGGCCUU
rnacentral:rRNA from 1 species